GAUCCUGGCUCAGGAUGAACGCUAGCUACAGGCUUAACACAUGCAAGUCGAGGGGAAACGACAUCGAAAGCUUGCUUUUGAUGGGCGUCGACCGGCGCACGGGUGAGUAACGCGUACCCAACCUGCCCAUCACUUGGGAAUAACCUUGCGAAAGUAAGACUAAUGCCCAAUGACAUCCCACGAAGGCAUCCGAAUGGGAUUAAAGAUUUAUCGGUGAUGGAUGGGGAUGCGUCUGAUUAGCUUG
rnacentral:rRNA from 1 species